UCGGGGCUUUCUUCUUCACCUCACAGCGCCAUCCUCCUCCACGACCACGCAGCCGCAGCGGCGGAGGAGCCGAAUCCCUAGCCAGCGAGCUCAGGGAGCCAUGGGUCCAUGGGUACGAAUCCCUCCUCUUCUCUCUCUCUGACCCACCCCCGUCUCUUCUCCCUCCCUCUCUGACCCCGGUCUCCAUGACCAGGGCAACGCCAUGGAAGGGCCACCAACUACAGCAGCGAGGAGAGGAGAAAGGGAGUAUCCUGACGGCUGUCUUCCACCUCCGCCUACGCCCCCGUCCUCCACCUCCACCUACACCCCCGCCGGAAAAUAGUACAAUGGCCAAGGAAAUAGGCAGGAGGCGCCACUUCCCGGAUGGACAUGGACAUGCAUCUCCAACUCUGCUUCUUCCUGGGUCGCCAUGGAAGGUACUCCAUGUUAUGCUCUGCUAUGCACCAUGUUAUGCUUGCUGCAACUUACUGAUGCAUAAUUCAGUCAAGAUAAAAUUGUAGAAAUCUCAAACUUUAGCAUGGACUGAAUAAUGUUUGUGCAUAAUUCAGUCAAAUUCAGUUAAGGAUUUUGUUACGAUUGUUACUGGAUCAUCCAUGGACUGAAUAAUUCAGUCAAAUUCAGGUAAGACAAUUCAGUC
rnacentral:lncRNA from 1 species